UAUGGAAGAGAUUAUUUUCAAUUAUAUUACUUAUUUAUUGAAUCAUAAUAUAUUCCUACAGACCUCCUGUGCUACAGAAGCGUCACACUCCUUUGUGAAGAUGUUGCCAGAAUGCUGCUGAAGUGAGGAUUGACACUAAGCAGGGUCAUAAUCCAAAGCAAUGCUGCACAAUCUAUCCUUCAGAGUCCCAAGGCCUACCUCUCAAUGACUUCCUUCCAUAUGAAACAUUUACCUGCUUCGGUAGCCAGCAAGACUCUGUAAGCAACAUGGACACUAUAGUGCCCAGCGAGUCCUGUCACCAAUGCACCCUCCAAGGCCUGAGGAAAGCCAUCGGUGAGGACCAUGGAGAGCUGCCCUUGGCUCCUCAAUGAGGCUGUCCCCUCAACCUGAGGGGGUUCCCUCUGCAGGUUCUCUGUUACAUUUCUCAGUUACAGAGCUUUCUCUCUCUUGAGUCUGACAAAUCCCUUCUAAUUAGUUUCAAACGUUCCAGGACCAUUUAUUUUCAUUUGUUAUCACUGCCUAGCAAAUGCCUGAGAGUCCCCUCUUGUCUUCACUGUAAGUAAGCCCCCUUCUCCUCAGCUGUGACACUGUGGCCACAGUCUGUAGGUAACUCCCUCUCCUCAGCUGUGACACUGUGGCCACAGUCUGUAAGUAACUCCCUCUCCUUGGCUGUUGUUGUACCCAGAGUCCCCCAAAGACCACCGAGAGAUUGAAUCCAAUGCAAAAGCAAAGUUGUGUAAGCAAGAUUUCUAUUCAUCUUCCCCUUCACUGUUUGAUUUAUGGCAGACAUUUUUCUAUAGGCUAAUCCAUAAUCUAAAAAGACUUAACCCCCACCCUGAGAGUACAGCCAGCAUAUCUUUUCAUCAGCUUGAUACGGUACAAAUUCUUAUCCUAAUAGUGAAAUGUUUCACUAAAGCUUGCCCAGUGACUGGGCAAAACCAAAAUUUAUUAUAAACCACAGUCA